UACGUAGGUGGCAAGCGUUGUCCGGAUUUACUGGGCGUAAAGAGCGCGCAGGCGGUCGGAUCAGUCGAAUGUGAAAGCCCCGGCUCAACUGGGGAGGGUCAUUCGAUACUGUCCGACUCGAAGGCAGGAGAGGGAAGCGGAAUUCCCGGUGUAGUGGUGAAAUGCGUAGAUAUCGGGAGGAACACCAGUGGCGAAGGCGGCUUCUGGCCUGUUCUUGACGCUGAGGCGCGAAAGCUAGGGGAGCGAACGGGAUUGAGAU
rnacentral:rRNA from 1 species